GACGAACGCUGGCGGCGUGCUUAACACAUGCAAGUCGAGCGGUAAGGCCCUUUCGGGGGUACGACGAGCGGCGAACGGGUGAGUAACACGUGGGUGACCUGCCCUCAGCUCUGGGAUAAGCCUGGGAAACCGGGUCUAAUACCGGAUAUGACUCCAUGACGCAUGUUGUGGGGUGGAAAGCCUUGUGCGGCUGAGGAUGGGCCCGCGGCCUAUCAGCUUGUUGGUGGGGUGAUGGCCUACCAAGGCGACGACGGUAGCCGGCCUGAGAGGGCGACCGGCCACACUGGGACUGAGAUACGGCCCAGACUCCUACGGGAGGCAGCAGUGGGGAAUCUUGCGCAAUGGGCGAAAGCCUGACGCAGCGAUGCCGCGUGAGGGAUGACGGCC
rnacentral:rRNA from 1 species